rnacentral:rRNA from 1 species
GAUGAACGCUGGCGGCGUGCCUAAUACAUGCAAGUCGAGCGAACGGACGAGACGCUUGCUUCUCUGAUGUUAGCGGAGGACGGGUGUGUCACAUGUGGAUCACCUACCUAUCAGACUGGGAUAACUACGGGAAACCGGCGCAAAUCCCGGAUGAUCUUCUGCACCGCAUGGUUCAAAGGUGAAAGACGGUGUUGCUGUCACUUCUAGAUGGAUCCGCGCUGCUUUAGCUAGUUGGUAAGGUAACGGCCUACCAAGGCAAGUAUGCAUAGACGACGUCAGGGGGUGGUCGGCCACACUGGAGGUUGGACGGGGACCUUACGCCUACGAGACGCAGCAGUAGGGUAUCGUCGGCAGUAGGCGAGAACCUGACGGAGCGACGCCGCGUGAGAUAUGGAGGUCUUCGGAGCGGAAAGCUCGGUUAUUAGGGAAGAACAUAUGUGGAAGUAACUGUGCACAGCUUGACGGUACCUAAUCAGAAAGCCACGGCUAACUACGUG